rnacentral:rRNA from 1 species
AUGUAUAGGAGCUGACGCCUGCACGGUGCUGGAAGGUUAAGGGGAUCUGUUAGAGUAAUCGAAGCAGUGAUUAAGCCCCAGUAAACGGCGGCGGUAACUAUAACGGUCCGAAGGUAGCGAAAUUCCUUGUCGGGUAAGUUCCGACCCGCACGAAAGGCGUAACGAUUUGGGCACUGUCUCAACAACAGACUCGGUGAAAUUGUAAUUCCAGUGAAGAUGCCGGAUACC